CUUAUAAACUAUCACGACGCCCAAAAAGUCGUGGCUUGGGUUUUGCCAGCUGGCGUGAUCUCCUCUAUGAGUAAUCAUGUGAGGUGCCAGAUCUAUGGCGUUUCCCUAAUGUAUCCGGAUGCACCCUUGUCUUGGCAGAAAGCCGUGGUGAGGUGCAGUGGCGGAAUCGUGGUUUAAUAAUCGGGUUGGUACUCAGUUGUCAGUGUGUUUGGCGAUCCCCUAGUCGGCACACUUAUGAUUUCUGGGAUAAUUCCAUACCAGGCACGUUCCGUCACUGUCACUUUGUCAUUGGUUUGAUGCUGAACUUGGUCAUGUGUCUGAUGCUAUUUUCAUAUAGCGACGGUACCCUUCGUGGUCUGUCUU
rnacentral:misc_RNA from 2 species